GAUGAACGCUGGCGGCGUGCCUAAUACAUGCAAGUCGAGCGAGCAGAUAAGGAGCUUGCUCCUUUGACGUUAGCGGCGGACGGGUGAGUAACACGUGGAUAACCUACCUAUAAGACUGGGAUAACUUCGGGAAACCGGAGCUAAUACCGGAUAACAUAUUGAACCGCAUGGUUCAAUAGUGAAAGGCGGCUUUGCUGUCACUUAUAGAUGGAUCCGCGCCGUAUUAGCUAGUUGGUAAGGUAACGGCUUACCAAGGCAACGAUACGUAGCCGACCUGAGAGGGUGAUCGGCCACACUGGAACUGAGACACGGUCCAGACUCCUACGGGAGGCAGCAGUAGGGAAUCUUCCGCAAUGGGCGAAAGCCUGACGGAGCAACGCCGCGUGAGUGAUGAAGGUCUUCGGAUCGUAAAACUCUGUUAUCAGGGAAGAACAAAUGUGUAAGUAACUGUGCACAUCUUGACGGUACCUGAUCAGGAAGCCACGGCUAACUACGUG
rnacentral:rRNA from 1 species